GCUGGUGCAUCGAACUGCUUCCCUCACUUUCGAUCAGUUGUUGCUCCACGAGAUAAACGUUGGACGCAAGACAUGGGUUCCUGUGUUGCAUACCUAUUGCGACGGAAAUGUGUGCCUUCGAUCGUCCCUUCCAUCACGGCGUCCUCACGGAUGCUCGGUUGGACCGGAUAGUGGGGCUCGUGUUCCACGAACGUCGUCUCAUUCGACCGUUCGGAUGGACCACGGGUGCCCACUCGUUCUCUCGGAUGCGGAAAUCYCUURAUGGGCRUGGGGUCAUUGGCCCUUGGUCCCUAAUCGUUAAGCGUUUAUCGCUUCACCGGAAUGACGAUCUCGCCUUGUCCUUGACCACGCGAAGCCCUCGGGCAUCGCGACGGAUCAUGCUCGGCGGACGUCGUGAAGGAAUGC
rnacentral:misc_RNA from 1 species